rnacentral:lncRNA from 1 species
CGGACAGUGGGUGGGUGCCCUGACUGCCUGACGGCCGCGCAGGGCCUUGCAGGACCGCUGGGGAGGAUGUUGUUAACGUAAAGAGCCAGGCUGAUGAGGAAGGGCAAGCACUUUAACCUUUUAAGCCCAACCAGAUGAGUUGCCUGCAGUUUUGGAGGCCUUCAGAGCAUUUCACUAGACCUCUGUCUGUGUCGGUCCAGUGUCUUUAGCCAAGCUUUGAUUAAAGAUGACUUCCUUGUUUGCUCAAGAAAUUCGCCUUUCUAAAAGACAUGAAGAAAUAGUAUCACAAAGAUUAAUGUUACUUCAACAAAUGGAGAAUAAAUUGGGUGAUCAACACACAGAAAAGGCAUCUCAACUCCAAACUGUUGAGACUGCUUUUAAAAGGAACCUUAGUCUUUUAAAGGAUAUAGAAGCAGCAGAAAAGUCACUACAGACCAGGAUUCACCCACUUCCACGGCCUGAGGUGGUUUCUCUUGAGACUCGUUACUGGGCAUCAGUAGAAGAAUAUAUUCCCAAAUGGGAACAGUUUCUUUUAGGAAGAGCACCAUAUCCUUUUGCUGUUGAAAAUCAAAAUGAAGCAGAAAAUACCAUUCAAAAUGAGGCACAGCGAUAACUUCUUCACAUGCUAUUUCAAAAAGCCUGUUUAAUAAAGCUGAAUGUUAAGGUGUAUGUAGGUUAUUGCAGGAACUUUAGGAAUUAAAUAUGUUCAUAUUCUUCGAUUAUCUCCUAAGUGACAGUGAAGAUAUGAGAAUUUACUGGCAAGUCACAUGUUAUCACCUACUACUAUUUCAAGGUCAUGAAUUUGCUUUCUACCAAACCCAUAGAUGUGUUAAACACGAAUAUUAAAAGGUGGACUCUUUAUUAA